rnacentral:rRNA from 1 species
CCUACGGGAGGCAGCAGUGGGGAAUAUUGGGCAAUGGGCGCAAGCCUGACCCAGCAACGCCGCGGGAAGGAAGAAGGCUUUCGGGUUGUAAACUUCUUUUGUCAGGGAAGAGUAGAAGACGGUACCUGACGAAUAAGCCACGGCUAACUACGUGCCAGCAGCCGCGGUAAUAAGUAGGAGGCACGCGUUGUCCGGAUUUACGGGGUGUAAAGGGCGUGUAGCCGGGUUGACAAGUCAGAUGUUACAUCAUGCGGCUUAACCUGAGAACUGCAUUUGAAACUGUUGAUCUUGAGUAUUGGAGAGGCAGAUGGAAUUCCUAGGGGAGCGGUGAAAUGCGUAGAUAUUAGGAGGAACACCAGUGGCGAAGGCGGUCUGCUGGACAGCAACUGACGGUGAGGCGCGAAAGCGUGGGGAGCAAACAGGAUUAGAUACCCGGGUAGUC